CCCUAAACUCAAAUUCUCUUGUUUAAAGAACAACUGCUCAUCUGCUCGCGCAUAGAACACAACAACAUCACAACUCACGGCGUUUCUUGAAAAGCUGCCCAAACUACACAUCGUCACAUGCUUAGGUUCUUUCUUCUUUCUAUUUUACUAAUUUAUUAUUGUUUUGAAACAAGUUGAUCAAUUUUUUAUUGUUAAAAUGUCUAGCCCAUUUGAUUUCAUGAUUUAGUGCUUUAUAAUAUUUUUUUAUUGAUAAAAGUUGGUCAAUUUUUGGUUGUUAUGAUGGUGUCAAGCUUAAUCAACAAUUGGAUUAACAUAAAUAAAAUAAUUAUUAUUAUUACAAUCUUAGGGAAAAGGCUUUUCGACAAACAUCUGUUGGGCAUUGUUCUGCAGAAAUAUUUUCAGUAUUAACUAGUCAUGCUCUCAAAUUCACAUAUGUAUUCUGUCUUAGAUUGAUUUUUUUUUUUCAUAAAAUUAUUCUAAUCAUAUUUAUUUAUCACAGUAUCCAAACAUGGCUAAGGGUAUUAAUAAAAGAGCUUUAAGCUUGCGGUGACCACUAUUUGUUAUUUUUUCGAUUAUUUGUUAAUUAUUAAUAGGAUAAUGACAAUAUUCAUGGCCUGUAAUUUUUUCCUUGUAGAUGGAAGCAAAUUCAUCCAGUAAUCCAGGAGUUAAUAUCUCUACACUUUCAACAACUCAAAGUACAACUGAUAGUGCUAUUAAUACACAUGCAGGCAAUGGAAAAGGUGGAAAAGUGUCAAAAGUAUGGGAACAUUACACAAAAUUUGAGAAUGAUACAAAAUGUAAGUGUAACUACUGUUCUAAAGUGUAUGCGUGUCAUUCUAGAUUUAUUGGGACUCAUACUUUAUGGAAUCACUUGUCAGCAUGCACAGCCUAUACUGAUAGGAAAGUUGAUUUAAAACAAAAAACCUUGGUGUUUGAGGAUAACACAACUAGUGGUGGCAGUAAUCUUGUGGCAAUAUCUUGUAGCAAAGAGGACCUUAGAAAAGCAUGCAUUGAGAUGAUAAUUAUUGAUGAAUUGCCCUUUAGUUUUGUUGAAAAAGAAGGGUUUCAGAAAUUUAUGAGCAAAGCUUGUCCAAAACUUGAUCGUUUUUCUAGGAGAACUGUUGCUAGAGAUGUGUAUCAGUUGUACUUAAAUGAGAAGAAUAAUUUGAAAAAAAGUGUUUGCUAGUAAUAAGUAUAGGGUUUGUAUAACAACUUAUUGUUGGACUUCAAUACAAAAUUUGAAUUACAUGGUUAUUACAGCCCAUUUUAUUGAUGAUGAGUGGCAACUUCAUAAAAGGAUAUUAAACUUUUGCCAGAUUGAUGAUCAUAAAGGAGAUACAAUUGGAAAAUUGAUUGAGUCUUGCUUGCUUGAAUGGGGUAUUGAUAAAGUGUUUACAAUUACUGUUGAUAAUGCAAGUUCGAAUGAUUUGGUCAUUUCUUAUUUAAAAAAGAAGAUGAAUAACUGGGGUGGGCUUGUGUUGAAUGGUGAUUAUCUUCAUGUUAGAUGUUGUGCACAUAUGAUAAAUUUGAUUGUGACUGAGGGGUUGAAAGAGAUGAAUAAUUAUGUUUCUAGCAUUCGUAAUGCUGUGAAAUAUGUAAGAUCAUCACCAGCUAGAUUAAUAAGGUUUAGAAAAUGUGUUGAGCAUGAAAAACUUGAUUCUAAACGUAUUGUUGUGAUGGAUGUUCCUACUAGGUGGAAUUCCACCUAUUUGAUGUUAGAGAGUGCUCUUGUAUAUCAAAAAGCUUUUGAACGAUUGGAGGAUGAUGAUGGAUUUUAUAGAUCCUAUUUUGAAGAGAAAGAGGGUGGAAAAAAAAAGGAUUGGGCCACCGAAACUUAUAGAUUGGGUGAAUGCAAGUGUGUUGAAUAAUUUUUUGGAGAAUUUCUAUGAAAUUACUAAAAAUUUAGUGCUUCUUUGUCUGUUACAUCACAUUUGUAUUUUCAUGAGAUGCAUUCUAUAGAGUCAAAUUUAAAAGGAUUGAUACUAAGUGAUGAUUCUUGUUUGAGUGCAAUGGCAAAGAAGAUGAAAGAGAAGUAUGACAAAUAUUAGGGUUCCCUCAACACUCUAAAUAAGUUGUUAAUUGUUGCUGUUGUGCUUGAUCCGCGUUAUAAAUUGAGUUUUGUGAAAUUUUGUUUUGAGGAGUUGUAUGAUGAAAAUAUUGUGUGUGAGCUCAUAAAAGUGAUUAAGGGCUUAAUGUCUUCUUUGUAUGACUUUUACACAAAUAAUAACCCUAGAUGUGAUGGUGGUAGCCAAAACCAAUCUGUUAAUGCUGUCAUUUUUCCAUCCGAGUUAGAGAAAAAAAGUGAUAUUAUUGAUUAUAGAUUAGCCAAGGUAGCAAAACUUUCAAAAUGGAAAAAGAAGCAGCUGGAAGAGGAUGGUGUAGAGUUGAAAAAUGAAGUGGACAAAUAUUUAUUAGAUGAUUGUGAAAAUUGCUUUGAUGAUUCAUUUGAUUUGUUGAACUGGUGGAAGGUAAAUGGUGGGAAGUAUAAAGUUUUGUCUAAUGUAGCCAACGACAUUCUUGCAAUCCCAAUAUCUACAGUUGCUUCUAAGUCUGUAUUCAGUACAGGAGGACGCAUUCUUGAUCCAUUUCGAGCUUCUUUGAGUCCUAAAAUGGUAGAGAGCUUGAUAUGUGGGCAAAAUUGGCUUUGUUCUUCUCAUAUUGCUGUAGAAGAAGAUACAUCUUCGGUUGAAGAUAUGGCAUUUUAUGAAUCAAUUACAUCAGGUAAAUAUUUAUAUUAUGAUUUUUAUUUUUAUUCUAUUUAUAUUUUCCUUAUAUUUAUUUGUUAUAACAUAUAUGCCUAAUAUUUUUAUUUUUAUUGUUAUAUAGAUUCAAGAUUGGCAUCAAAUUUUAAUGUCAUUAAUUUGGAUUGAUUUGGAUUUUGAUGUCAUUGUACUGAUCUUCAUUACACUCCUGUUGGUUGGUGUUGAGCAAUGGUUUCGGGAAACUCUCUUCCUAUGUAUGGAAGACUUAUAAAAUUUUUCACUCUUUGGACUUUAAUGUUUUGUAUUAAACAAGAUUUUAAAUUUAUGUACUUUUUUUUCAUUAGUUAUGUACUAAUAAUUUGAUUGUUAAAUUUUGAAAUAUUGGAUUUGUUGUAAGGAUUUUAGUAUUUGUGUUUUUUUAAUUUUUUUAAUUAAUUAAUUUAUUUUUGUUUAGAC
rnacentral:lncRNA from 1 species